GCCCACUCGCCCACCUCCCCCGUGUCCCCCUUCACUGCUGACUUCGACCUGCAAGACCUGCUCGACUACAACGACACGGAGCCUCAAUGACCGCCGGCCGCCGCCCGCGCUCGCCGUACCUUCGUUGUCUCUCUAAGAGUUUAAACUUUUUUAUGAUAUCUUAUUCUCUAUUGACCUGAAGCGAGAUGUUAUCAUUUUUGAGAUGUAAAUUUACCCGUUAGGUAUAUAAAUUUAUAGCGUCAUUUGUAACUCCUACUAUCCAUCGUUGACCCUUGCAUUUUUUGAUGUUUAUUAAAUUGUUCGUGUAUAAUAUUUCGUUACGCGAUAGUAUGUACCGACUGUAUUAUAGUAUCUACCGUAACUAGGGUUCACGACAGUGAUCGAGCGAAGCUGCCUUACUACUGCUAACGAGAGAACGCGUGACCGACUGACCGGCGGCCGCCAACCACAUCCUGACCGCAACCACACCUUCAACACGCACCUUUUAUGUAACAUUUAAACAGUGAAUUAUAAUAUAAGCUACUUAUUAAUGGUAUAUAUUAAAAGUUUUUUAUAACAAACUACUAUUAUAUUAAAUGUAAAUAACUUUGACAAAAAAAAAACCGUCUAAAUUCUUAAAUCGACUUUGUUGCUCAAAUAAUCA
rnacentral:misc_RNA from 1 species